rnacentral:piRNA from 1 species
GCUCACGGGAUAUGCUGGGCCUGCCUUUG